rnacentral:rRNA from 1 species
GACGAACCGUGCAAACGUUGUUCGGAUUCACUGGGCUUAAAGGGCGCGUAGGCGGGUUCUCAAGUUCGGGGUGAAAUCUUUCGGCUUAACCGGAAAACAGCCUUGAAUACUGAGAGUCUCGAGCGAGGUAGGGGCAGCUGGAACUUCCGGUGGAGCGGUGAAAUGCGUUGAUAUCGGAAGGAACGCCGGUGGCGAAAGCGAGCUGCUGGACCUUUUCUGACGCUGAGGCGCGAAAGCCAGGGGAGCAAACGGG